GUGGAAUUAAAGAACCUGUUUUCUCGUCCAUAUUAUCCUUUCAGUACUUCGUGAAUUUGCUAAAUAUGCAAGGGGUAAGGGUAACAGGAGAUCCUAGCUAUGAAUUAAUGUUUCAGCUUAUGACUGCCUCUACUUAGCAAAAUCUGGGCACCUACAGAAAAUAUUACAGCAAAGACUACUUUAUACACAUUGAAUGUUCUUAGAACUAAUCUUCCUGUUUAGGAGCAUUUUCCUUUAUGCUCUUGGUCAACCAAAUAGCAGUUUCCCUCGGAGAAACUUUUUCUGGUCCAAAUGGCUUCAAUAAGACACCAAGUUCAUCGAAUCUGUCUUCUUGCAAGAGUCUAGCACUGAACUCAAGUAGUCCCUCCAGGGCUUCAGCCCGUUGCUUAUAAGAUGACAUGUUAAAACGGCGGCGUCUUGUGUCAGAUGAAGUUCGGCUAGAUGCACCAGCAGUGGCAUUUUGAUCAGAAGAAUCAGUUAUGUCCUCUCUAUCCACAUGCACCAUGGGGCCUUCAUAACCUUGCCAAGCAUCAUUGGAACUCAUUCGAUCAAAUUUACUGUCAGGAAUCUGUAUGGUACAUUUGUCUUUCAUAACUGAAUACUCAGCUUGUGGUGAGCCAGAGGAACCUUGCGCAGAGUUUGAUGAUGUUCGGCGUAUAGGAUGGAAAGGAUCUUCAUAUGAAGCUAAUGGAAACUCAAGCAUCUUGUCAAUUCGAGGGGCAUUGACAGAAACAUCAGGAGACUUAAUACAGUCAAGAAAACUGAGACUCGGCCUUCGAGGUAAUUCUUGAACUGCUGCCUUGUUUGUCAAUGGCAAAGAUGCCCUACGAGUUGUAGAAACAGAUCUCUUCACCAGGGUUCGUGAAGCCAUAUCGCUGUUCCUUAGAUCCACUUGUCUUCUUGGAGUAGUAGUCAAUUUUGGCACGAUCACCUUUGGAUUCUUAUUCACAAGCAAAGCUUUAGAAGUGAUUUUUUUUGUGACAGUUGAUCCUCUAUCAGGGCUUCCAACAGACAAUUCAGAUACUCUGCUUGGUGUUUUUGGAUAUCUACGAUUUGAAAAAGUAUAAUCGUGAUCAGAGACACUAGGAUUCAAAGUCCUAUCAUUUCCACAUGACAUUCGCUUCUCUCUGUUCUUUUUGACAGGUGUGCUUUCAGAAAUUGCAAAUCUGGUUUUCUUUACAUCAUUAUCAGGCAAACAAGCAGGUAAACUGUUCCGUCUAGGGCCAUUAAGUUUGAGAUGUGUAUUAAUCACAUAUGGCUGAAGAAGUGGAUUCCUAAGAAGUUCUGCUGCGCUUGGCCUCAGUUCUGGGUUUUUCCGCAGCAUGCUUUUGACAAGACCU
rnacentral:misc_RNA from 1 species